CAGCAGCCGCGGUAAUACGGAGGAUCCAAGCGUUAUCCGGAUUUAUUGGGUUUAAAGGGUGCGUAGGCGGCCUAUUAAGUCAGGGGUGAAAGACGGUAGCUUAACUAUCGCAGUGCCUUUGAUACUGAUGGGCUUGAAUGCAGCUGAGGUAGGCGGAAUGUGACAAGUAGCGGUGAAAUGCAUAGAUAUGUCACAGAACACCGAUUGCGAAGGCAGCUUACUAAAGUGUGAUUGACGCUGAGGCACGAAAGCGUGGGGAUCAAACAGGAUUAGAUACCCGGGUAGUCCCUGUCUCUUAUAC
rnacentral:rRNA from 1 species